AGCAUGCCUGUCGGGACCC
rnacentral:snRNA from 1 species